rnacentral:rRNA from 1 species
GCCGCGAAUAGCUCAUUACAACAGCCACCGUUUACUAGAAUAUAGUUAUCCUACUUGGAUAACUGCGGCAAUUCUAGAGCUAAUACAUGCAAAAAAGCUCCGCCCGCAAGGAACGAGCGCAUUUAUUAGAAUAAAAACCAAUCGGGUUUCGGCCCGUAAUUUGGUGAAUCUGAAUAACUUUGCCAAUCGCACAGUCCUAGGACUGGCGAUGUAUCUUUCAAGUGUCUGCCUUAUCAACUUUCGAUGGUAGGUUAUACGCCUACCAUGGUAGUAACGGGUAACGGAGAAUAAGGGUUCGACUCCGGAGAGGGAGCCUGAGAAACGGCUACCACAUCCAAGGAAGGCAGCAGGCGCGCAAAUUACCCACUUCCAGAACGGAGAGGUAGUGACGAAAAAUAACGAGACAGUCCUCUUCGAGGUCUGUCAUCGGAAUGGGUACAAUUUAAAUCCUUUAACGAGGAUCUAUUGGAGGGCAAGUCUGGUGCCAGCAGCCGCGGUAAUUCCAGCUCCAAUAGCGUAUAUU